UACCAUCGAAUACAAGUCAUGACCAAAUUACAACACAAAGUUAGAGAAAAUCUGAGUACAAGAUAACAAGCAGCAGCUGCGAUUACAAUUACUUCAGAGCGUUCAAGGCCACCACCGUGAACAGCGAUUACAAUUACUUCAGAGCGUUGAAGACCAGCAUCAUGAACAGGAUAACAGGCAGCAGCAGUUACAGUUACUUCAGUGCGUUGUGAAGACCAGCAUCAUGAACAGGAUAACAGGCAGCAGCGGUUACAGUUACUUCAGUGCGUUGUGAAGACCAGCAUCAUAAACAGGAUAACAGGCAGCAGCGGUUACAAUUACUUCAGUGCGUUGUGAAGACCAGCAUCAUGAACAGGAUAACAGGCAGCAGC
rnacentral:lncRNA from 1 species